GGAGUUGGACGGACCGUCGCCGCGGCCCUCUAAGGGACGGGGAGGAAAGUCCGGGCUCCACAGGGCAGAGCGCUGGGUAACUCCCAGGAGGAGCGAUCCUCGGCAAGCGCAACAGAAAGCAGACCGCCACGCAGUCCUUCGGGAUUGCGGGGUAAGGGUGAAACGGUGGGGUAAGAGCCCACCAGCGGGCGUGGCGACACGCCCGGCUAGGCAUGCCCCGCUCGGAGCAAGACCAAAUAGGAAGGUAGGCUGGCCCGGCUAUUGCCUUCGGGUAGGUUGCUUGAGGUGGUCGGUAACGGCCAUCCUAGAGGAAUGACGGUCGCCUCCCUCGCCCCGAAAGGGACGAAGGGGGAGACAAAACCCGGCUUACAGUCCGGCUCCGGCA
rnacentral:RNase_P_RNA from 2 species